rnacentral:rRNA from 1 species
UGGUCAAGUUAUUAAGGGUGCAGGGCGGAUGCCUUGGCACUAGGAGCCGAUGAAGGACGUGAUAAGCUGCGAUAAGCUUCGGGGAGUUGCACGUAAACUUUGAUCCGAAGAUUUCCGAAUGAGGAAACUCACUUAGAGUAAUGUCUAAGUAUCAUUAAGUGAAUACAUAGCUUAAUGAGGGGAACUCAGGGAACUGAAACAUCUAAGUACCUGAAGGAAGAGAAAGAAAUUCGAUUCCGUAAGUAGCGGCGAGCGAACGCGGAUUAGCCCAAACCAAUAAAGUUUUCUUUAUUGGGGUUGCGGACAUAUCAUAACGAAGAGGUAUCGUAAUUGAAGAGGUUUGGAAAGACCCACCACAGAAGGUAAUAGUCCUGUAUGUUAAACGAGAAGACUUCAGAUAUGAUCCAGAGUACCACGGGACACGUGAAACCCUGUGGGAAGCAGGAGGGACCACCCUCCAAGGCUAAAUACUACCUAGUGACCGAUAGCGUAUAGUACCGUGAGGGAAAGGUGAAAAGAACCCCGGGAGGGGAGUGAAAUAGAACCUGAAACCCUGCACUUACAAGCUGUGGAAGCACAUUUCUUGUGUGACCGCGUACUUUUUGUAGAACGGGCCAACGAGUUACGUUAAGUAGCAAGGUUAAGCACUUAAGGUGCGGAGCCGUAGCGAAAGCGAGUUUUAACUGAGCGUUCAGUUACUUGACGUAGACCCGAAACCGGGCGACCUACCCAUGAGCAGGAUGAAGCGAAAGUAAAAUUUCGUGGAGGUCCGAACCCACGAGCGUUGAAAAGCUCGGGGAUGACUUGUGGGUAGCGGUGAAAUUCCAAUCGAGCCCGGAGAUAGCUGGUUCUCCCCGAAAUAGCUUUAGGGCUAGCCUCAAGGUGAGAGAUACGGAGGUAGAGCACUGAAUGUCCUAGGGGGUAUUGCACCUACCGAAGACUAUCAAACUCCGAAUGCCGUCAUCUUAUACUUGGGAGUCAGACUGUGGGUGAUAAGAUUCAUAGUCGAAAGGGCAACAGCCCAGAUCGUCAGCUAAGGUCCCUAAAUGUAAGUUAAGUGGUAAAGGAUGUGGGAUUGCACAGACAACCAGGAUGUUGGCUUAGAAGCAGCCACUCAUUCAAAGAGUGCGUAAUAGCUCACUGGUCGAGUGAUCCUGCGCCGAAGAUUUCCGGGGCUAAAACUUACUACCGAAGCUACGGCAUCAGUAAUGAUGGGUAGGGGAGCUUCCCAUACGGGUUGAAGCAUGACCGUAAGGACAUGUGGACAGUAUGGGAGUGAGAAUGUUGGCAUGAGUAGCGAGAUGUGGGUGAGAAUCCCACAGGCCGUAAACCCAAGGUUUCCAGGGGAAGGUUCGUCCGCCCUGGGUUAGUCGGAACCUAAGCUGAGGCCGAAAGGCGUAGGUGAUGGACAACAGGUUGAUAUUCCUGUACUACCGAUAACCAUUUGAGAGAAGGGAUGACACAGUAGGAUAAGCUAAGCACACUGUUGGUUAUGUGUGCCCAAGCAUUGAGGCAGUCAAAGUAGGCAAAUCCGCUUUGAUAAUGCUGGGAUGUGAUGGGGAGCGAAAUUUAGUAGCGAAGUAGCUGAUUUCACACUGUCAAGAAAAGUCUCUAUCGAGGUUAAAGGUACCCGUACCGCAAACCGACACAGGUGGGUGAGGAGAGUAUCCUAAGGCCAGCGAGAGAACUGUUGUUAAGGAACUCGGCAAAAUGACCCCGUAACUUAGGGAUAAGGGGUGCCACCAUCAGGUGGCCGCAGAGAAUAGGCCCAAGCGACUGUUUACCAAAAACAUAGGUUUCUGCUAAGUCGCAAGACGAUGUAUAGGAGCUGACGCCUGCCCGGUGCUGGAAGGUUAAGGGGAUCUGUUAGAGCAAUCGAAGCAGUGAACUUAAGCCCCAGUAAACGGCGGCCGUAACUAUAACGGUCCUAAGGUAGCGAAAUUCCUUGUCGGGUAAGUUCCGACCCGCACGAAAGGCGUAACGAUUUGGGCACUGUCUCAACAACAGACUCGGUGAAAUUGUAAUUCCGGUGAAGAUGCCGGAUACCUGCGACAGGACGGAAAGACCCCAUGGAGCUUUACUGUAGCUUGACAUUGGGUCUUGGUACUACAUGUACAGGAUAGGUGGGAGGCUUUGAAACCAGGACGCCAGUUUUGGCGGAGCCAUCCUUGGGAUACCACCCUUGUAGUACUGGGACUCUAACCAUAGGCCAUGAAUCUGGUCUUGGGACACUGUCAGGUGGGCAGUUUGACUGGGGCGGUCGCCUCCCAAAAGGUAACGGAGGCGCUCAAAGGUUCUCUCAGUACGGUCGGAAAUCGUACGUAGAGUGUAAAGGCAAAAGAGAGCUUGAUUGCAAGACAUACAGGUCGAGCAAGGAUGAAAAUCGGACUUAGUGAUCCGGUGGUUCUGCGUGGAAGGGCCAUCGCUCAACGGAUAAAAGCUACCCUGGGGAUAACAGGCUUAUCUCCCCCAAGAGUCCACAUCGACGGGGAGGUUUGGCACCUCGAUGUCGGCUCAUCACAUCCUGGGGCUGUAGUAGGUCCCAAGGGUUGGGCUGUUCGCCCAUUAAAGUGGUACGCGAGCUGGGUUCAGAACGUCGUGAGACAGUUCGGUCCCUAUCCGUCGCAGGCGUAGGAAAUUUGAGAAGACCUGUCCUUAGUACGAGAGGACCGGGAUGGACGUACCUCUGGUGUACCAGUUGUUCUGCCAAGGGCAUGGCUGGGUAGCUAUGUACGGAAUGGAUAAGCGCUGAAAGCAUCUAAGCGCGAAGCCAACUUCAAGAUAAGAUUUCCCACCGCAAGGGUAAGACUCCAGAAAGACUAUCUGGUUGAUAGGUCGAAGGUGUAAGUGCAGCAAUGUAUUUAGCUUAUCGAUACUAAUAGGUCGAGGACUUGACCAAU